ACUGGAAGUUUGGCACCUUCUGUAAUUCGGCUUCUCGAAGGUCUGGUUGAUGGAAUGAUUUGAGAUUGGGGGUUCUGUAUAUUGGAUGGUCCAUGUUGACAUAGCGUCCGCAUUAAGUUCAUCAUCGACAUGCAUACAAUGACGGAGGUCGAUGUGUGCAGGUUGUCUAAGGAAAGACGAACCGGGUGAGGCGUGAAAACGAGCAACCAAAAGUCUUCGUGAUGAACAGUAAUGGGAUAGCGCUGUGGAGUGGAACGCCAAUGUCAGCCUGAUUAAUACAAUCAGACUAUCAAUCUU
rnacentral:SRP_RNA from 1 species